GAUGAAGAACGUAGCUAAAUGCGAUAAGUAAUGUGAAUUGCAGAAUUCAGUGAAUCAUCGAAUCUUUGAACGCAUCUUGCGCUCCUUGGUAUUCCGAGGAGCAUGCCUGUUUGAGUGUCAUCAAGUUCUCAAACUGCAUCCAUUUGAAGGGUGUGGAUUUGGAUUAUGGAGUUUGCAGGCUCUUUGAUUGAGGUCUGCUCCUCUGAAAUGUAUUAGUGGCGAUGUGGAAAAGCUACUGUGGGUGUGAUAAAUAUCUAUGCCUUAUGCAGUGUUCUGCUAUGCCGCUUGCAGGGAGAAAUUUCAUUUUUGACAAACUUGACCUCAAAUCAGGUAGGACUACCCGCUGAACUUAAGCAUAUCAAAAGCGGAGGA
rnacentral:misc_RNA from 1 species